GGUUAAGUUAAUAAGGGCGCACGGUGGAUGCCUUGGCACUAGGAGCCGAAGAAGGACGGCACUAACACCGAUAUGCCUCGGGGAGCUGUAAGUGAGCUGUGAUCCGGGGAUUUCCGAAUGGGGAAACCCACUGUUCGUAAUGGAGCAGUAUCCAUGUGUGAAUACAUAGCACAUGAGAAGGCAGACUCAGGGAACUGAAACAUCUAAGUACCUGAAGGAAGAGAAAGCAAAUGCGAUUCCCCAAGUAGCGGCGAGCGAAACGGGAUCAGCCCAAACCAGAAGGCUUGCCUUCUGGGGUUGUAGGACACUCUAUACGGAGUUACAAAGGAACGGAUUAAGCGAAGCGACCUGGAACGGUCCGCAAGAUAGGGUAAUAGCCCCGUAGCUGAAAGUUCGUUCCCUCCAGAGUGGAUCCUGAGUACGGCGGAACACGAGAAAUUCCGUCGGAAUCCGGGAGGACCAUCUCCCAAGGCUAAAUACUCCCUAGUGACCGAUAGUGAACCAGUACCGUGAGGGAAAGGUGAAAAGCACCCCGGAAGGGGAGUGAAAUAGAUCCUGAAACCGUGUGCCUACAAGUAGUUAGAGCCCGUUAAUGGGUGAUAGCGUGCCUUUUGUAGAAUGAACCGGCGAGUUACGAUUGCAUGCAAGGUUAAGGUGAGAAGCCGGAGCCGCAGCGAAAGCGAGUCUGAAUAGGGCGAGUGAGUAUGUAGUUGUAGACCCGAAACCAGGUGAUCUACCCAUGUCCAGGGUGAAGGUAAGGUAACACUUACUGGAGGCCCGAACCCACGCACGUUGAAAAGUGCGGGGAUGAGGUGUGGGUAGCGGAGAAAUUCCAAUCGAACCUGGAGAUAGCUGGUUCUCUCCGAAAUAGCUUUAGGGCUAGCCUCAAGAUAGAGAAUCCUGGAGGUAGAGCACUGUUUGGACUAGGGGCCCAUCCCGGGUUACCGAAUUCAGACAAACUCCGAAUGCCAGUGAUUUAUGCUUGGGAGUCAGACUGCGAGUGAUAAGAUCCGUAGUCAAGAGGGAAACAGCCCAGACCACCAGCUAAGGUCCCCAAAUAUCCGUUAAGUGGAAAAGGAUGUGGCGUUGCUUAGACAACCAGGAUGUUGGCUUAGAAGCAGCCAUCAUUUAAAGAGUGCGUAAUAGCUCACUGGUCGAGUGACACUGCGCCGAAAAUGUACCGGGGCUAAACGGAUUACCGAAGCUGUGGAUGGACAUCGUAGAUGUCCGUGGUAGGAGAGCGUUCUAAGGGCGUUGAAGUCAGACCGGAAGGACUGGUGGAGCGCUUAGAAGUGAGAAUGCCGGUAUGAGUAACGAAAGACGGGUGAGAAUCCCGUCCACCGAAUGCCUAAGGUUUCCUGAGGAAGGCUCGUCCGCUCAGGGUUAGUCGGGACCUAAGUCGAGGCCGAUAGGCGUAGACGAUGGACAACAGGUUGAUAUUCCUGUACCACCUCCCCGCCGUUUGAGCAAUGGGGGGACGCAGAAGGAUAGGGUGAGCGUGCCGUUGGUUGUGCACGUCCAAGUUGUGAGAUGAGAAACGAGGCAAAUCCCGUUUCUAGAUACAUCAAGCAGUGAUGGCAAGAGGUUUACCUCAGAGUCCCUGAUUUCACACUGCCAAGAAAAGCCUCUAGCGAGGCGGGAGGUGCCCGUACCGCAAACCGACACAGGUAGGCGAGAAGAGAAUUCUAAGGUGAGCGAGUGAACUCUCGUUAAGGAACUCGGCAAAAUGACCCCGUAACUUCGGGAGAAGGGGUGCUCUGGUAGGGUGAAUAGCCCGAGAGAGCCGCAGUGAAUAGGCCCAGGCGACUGUUUAGCAAA
rnacentral:rRNA from 1 species